rnacentral:lncRNA from 1 species
CUAAUAAUGACCAGCAAAGAUGGAUUGGCUUACAGCUUCAGAACAUAUAUCAAUCCCUAGCAGUUACAAAGAAUGUCAGGACAGUCGAUUACUUAGAGUGAGAGAGGUUGGCCGACCGAUGAGGAGAUUGUUGUUCUCAUUAGUAGGCUGAACCAAUUUGCAUCUAAGUCAUAUACGUCAAGAAAAUAUUUAUUGAGAGC